CCUACGGGAGGCAGCAGUGGGGAAUAUUGGACAAUGGGGGAAACCCUGAUCCAGCGACGCCGCGUGAGUGAAGAAGUAUUUCGGUACGUAAAGCUCUAUCAGCAGGAAAGAAAAUGACGGUACCUGACUAAGAAGCCCCGGCUAACUACGUGCCAGCAGCCGCGAUAAUACGUAGGGGGCAAGCGUUAUCCGGAUUUACUGGGUGGAAAGGGAGCGUAGACGGCAGCGCAAGUCUGGAGUGAAAUGCCGGGGCCCAACCCCGGAACUGCUCUGGAAACUGUGAAGCUGGAGUGCAGGAGAGGUAAGCGGAAUUCCUGGUGUAGCGGUGAAAUGCGUAGAUAUCAGGAGGAACACCGGCGGCGAAGGCGGCUUACUGGACUGUAACUGACGUUGAGGCUCGAAGGCGUGGGGAGCAAACAGGAUUAGAUACCCGUGUAGUC
rnacentral:rRNA from 1 species